AAAAUCCGUUGACUUUUAAAAUCGUGAGGGUUCGAGUCCCUCUAUCC
rnacentral:tRNA from 1 species